UCCAACACCUCCACGGCUUUAUACUUCUUCUACCACGUAAUGUUUAUCUCUUGAGAUCUUUAUUUUCAGCUUCAUCUUCAGUGUGUGUCAGAUUUUGUGUAUUCUAUUCAUGCUUUCUUCCGUGGGAUCAAUUGGCCUCUCAUACGGGGCAUGGACCCUCGACCACUGGAUGCACCGUUGCGAAUAACAGAUAAAGAUCCGAAUGCCACUGGGAAGAUGAUGGAGUGCUUCUGAACUCUAUGGACAUUGACAUUGAUCCCUUCUAAACACUCAACUCUUUUACUUUCUUCUGCCUUUGAUCUUAUUUUAAUGCAAAACCAAUAAAGCAAAGGUGUUGUUACAUAACAUAUAUAAUGCAUCAGCAAUAAACAGCUGUAUCAUGUUAUUAGAGAA